rnacentral:rRNA from 1 species
GAUAAACGCUAGCGGCAGGCUUAACACAUGCAAGUCGAGGGGCAGCAUAGAUUGUAGCAAUACAAUUGGUGGCGACCGGCGCACGGGUGCGUAACGCGUGUGCAACCUACCCGUCACAGGGGGAUAAUCCGGAGAAAUCUGGUCUAAUACCCCAUAACAUAUGGAUCGGCAUCGGUUCAUGUUGAAAUUUUCGGAGGUGACGGAUGGGCAUGCGUAGCAUUAGCUUGUUGGUGAGGUAACGGCUCACCAAGGCGACGAUGCUUAGGGGGACUGAGAGGUUUUCCCCCCCACACUGGUACUGAGACACGGACCAGACUCCUACGGGAGGCAGCAGUGAGGAAUAUUGGUCAAUGGGCGCAAGCCUGAACCAGCCAUGCCGCGUGCAGGAUGACGGCUCUAUGAGUUGUAAACUGCUUUUGUACGAGGGUAAAGUGGGUUACGUGUAACCUUUUGGAAGUAUCGUACGAAUAAGGAUCGGCUAACUCCGUGCCAGCCGCCGCCGUAA